rnacentral:rRNA from 1 species
GACGAACGCUGGCGGCGUGCUUAACACAUGCAGGUCGAACGCUGAAGCUUGGUGCUUGCACUGGGUGGAUGAGUGGCGAACGGGUGAGUAAUACGUGAGUAACCUGCCCUUGACUCUGGGAUAAGCCUGGGAAACUGGGUCUAAUACUGGAUACGACAUGUCACCGCAUGGUGGUGUGUGGAAAGGGUUUUACUGGUUUUGGAUGGGCUCACGGCCUAUCAGCUUGUUGGUGGGGUAAUGGCUCACCAAGGCGACGACGGGUAGCCGGCCUGAGAGGGUGACCGGCCACACUGGGACUGAGACACGGCCCAGACUCCUACGGGAGGCAGCAGUGGGGAAUAUUGCACAAUGGGCGGAAGCCUGAUGCAGCGACGCCGCGUGAGGGAUGACGGCCUUCGGGUUGUAAACCUCUUUCAGCACGGAAGAAGCGAAAGUGACGGUACGUGCAGAAGAAGCGCCGGCUAACUACGUG